GCAAAGUUUGGUAUAAUUAUAAAUUAAUAGAUAGACUACUAGUAGUAGGAGUAAGCUAAGAUUAUUUGUCAAGGAUCAAAACUAAGGUAGUGGUUUCCAAUAGAUCCUAAAUUUGGCAUGCCUUUCUUUUUAGUUACUGACAUUUUCCCAACUUUUACUGGUUAACCAAUGCCAACAAAAGUUUUGAAAGGGGGGUGAAGUCUCAAAGAAGCUUCUAUUUUUUGGGUACAUUUGUUCUGUAUUUUGGUUACAUGCAUAGCCUCCACUUCUGGGUAACUGACUUAAUCCUUUUGGUUUUAUUCUAGUGCCUCCUCUGACUCUCCUUGGACAUCCCUGGAAAGCUAGAAGGCAACCUGUUCCCACCAGGAAGCCUGAUCUUUCUCCCAACUGGAGCACAACAAUGAAGCACACAAAAAUUGCAAACAGCUGAUUGUUAAGAGGACUCAAUGCUAAUUGCUGCCUGUCAGAAGAAAUGGGUGUCUGGUUGGGAGAGUGAGUUACACAGAUCUCAUAACAAGAACAAAGAAAAGGCAAAGCUGGAACUGAAGAAUGAAGACUGGUAGACGGUGAAGUUUACCCUCCAGUGGUUCUGAUACAUGCAAAGCUCUGGCUUGGAAGAAAAAUAGAAUUCUCACCUAGUGAAUAGAAAUGUCAUGGUAAGAGGAGAUUGGGGAGAGGGUUCCAGACAUACUAGUAAUGAGUCUUUAACAAGGAGACCUUUGUAAAUUGUGCCUCACCACAGACUAAUCUGAGAUGAUGUUUGAGGAAAAAAUAUUGAUUACACACAUAGGUAUGCAGAAAAGAGCUUAGUUUCUAAAGAAAACCUACCAGCUUCUUUCUGACUACAACAUGAUGUAAAUACCAUACUGCAUCUCUAGAGGAUAUGUUCAGCCAAUGCCCAAUAUGGCACUAAGAGAAUCUAAUUUAUUAUUGUUGCUAUUUCUAUUAGAGUAAUUCCACUGGGAAUUAAAAAAAAAAAAAAAAAACAACAAAAAAACCUGCAAAUUGAAGGAUUUUUUUCUGCUUUUCUCUUGUUAAAGCUUAGUGCAAGUCACAACUCCAGAGAAACCAUCUGGGAUUUUAGACAUAUUGACUUGUCAGUCCUUCUGCAUGAGAAAUUGAAGUUCUGGUACAAAUAGUUUUUCUCCAUUUCCUAUCUGGAUAACUUAUCAUUAUGCAUGAAUUCUGAGCAUUAAUUUUUUAUUUGUUUAUUAUGAUACCAGGUAUCUCACAUGAGGCAAAGGACUAUAUACAGAACAUUGGAGAGCAGUGCAAAAUUUAGAGGUUUUAAAUCCAUGAGAAUAAGUUAUUACCUUUUCUUUGAUGGUUAAGGUGCUAAAUAAAUGCUAAAUAAAAACAGAACA
rnacentral:lncRNA from 1 species